rnacentral:rRNA from 1 species
CAAGGUGAGUAAACCGGCGAACGGGUGCGUAACACGUGGAUAAUCUACCUUCCUGACCGGAACAACUGGCCGAAAGGCUUGCUAAUACCGGAUAAGACCACGGGAACUUCGGUUCCUGAGGGAAAAGGUGGCCUCUGUAUACAAGCUAUCACAGGGAGAUGAGUCCGCGGCCCAUCAGCUAGUUGGCGGGGUAAAGGCCCACCAAGGCUACGACGGGAAGCUGGUCUGAGAGGAUGAUCAGCCACACUGGAACUGAGACACGGUCCAGACUCCUACGGGAGGCAGCAGUGGGGAAUCUUGCGCAAUGGGCGAAAGCCUGACGCAGCAACGCCGCGUGUGUGAUGAAGGUCUUCGGA